UACUCUUUGCUGCCAGGUUCGCAGCUACAGCAACUGGAACCUGCCGCCUAGCCGCAGCGUGUGCAGGACCCCGCUGGGGCCGCUUGGCCUGAUGGGAGCUAUAGUCCACCUCCUCGCCAUCAGCCAGGAGAAGAGCUGUGGGAACUACAAGUCCCAGCAGCCAGUGCGGCUGCCCUAAGCUGACACUGCUGGAAACAGAUGUCUCUGCCUUGGAGUCCAGUGCUGCCCCUCUAGCCUGGUAGUUCAGGAUUGGCUUGUUGAGGUGGGGUCCAGGAGCUCAAAACUGGGUCCUUGCACUGUGACAUGUGCGCUCAGCUAGGUGCACCAACACCCAGCCCCCCCCCCUUUUUUUAACCAGAGCACUGCUCAGCUCUAAUUAUGCUGAUGCAAAGGAUUAAACCUGAGAUUUGUAGACAA